CGCCGCGUGAGGGAUGACGGCCUUCGGGUUGUAAACCUCUUUCAGCAGGGACGAAGCGUAAGUGACGGUACCUGCAGAAGAAGCACCGGCCAACUACGUGCCAGCAGCCGCGGUAAGACGUAGGGUGCGAGCGUUGUCCGGAUUUAUUGGGCGUAAAGAGCUCGUAGGCGGCUUGUCGCGUCGACCGUGAAAACUUGGGGCUCAACCCCAAGCCUGCGGUCGAUACGGGCAGGCUAGAGUUCGGUAGGGGAGACUGGAAUUCCUGGUGUAGCGGUGAAAUGCGCAGAUAUCAGGAGGAACACCGGUGGCGAAGGCGGGUCUCUGGGCCGAUACUGACGCUGAGGAGCGAAAGCGUGGGGAGCGAACAGGAUUAGAUACCCUGGUAGUCCACGCUGUAAACGUUGGGCGCUAGGUGUGGGGGGCCUCUCCGGUUCUCUGUGCCGCAGCUAACGCAUUAAGCGCCCCGCCUGGGGAGUACGGCCGCAAGGCUAAAACUCAAAGGAAUUGACGGGGGCCCGCACAAGCGGCGGAGCAUGCGGAUUAAUUCGAUGCAACGCGAAGAACCUUACCUGGGUUUGACAUGGCCGCAAAACUUGCAGAGAUGUAAGGUCCUUCGG
rnacentral:rRNA from 1 species